AUUGAACGCUGGCGGCAGGCCUAACACAUGCAAGUCGAGCGAGCGGCGGACGGGUGAGCAAUGUAUGGGGACUGCCCGAUAGCUGGGGAUAACUACUGGAAACGGUAGCUAAUACCGCAUCCUAUCGGAUAACCCAUAUGGGAUUAGCUCGUAGGUGGGGUAAGUGCUCACCUAGGCGACGAUCCCUAGCUGGUCUGAGAGGAUGAACAGCCACACUGGGACUGAGACACGGCCCAGACUCCUACGGAGGCAGCAGGGGGGAAUAUUGCACAAUGGGCGCAAGCCUGAUGCAGCCAUGCCGCGUGUAUGAAGAAGGCCCUAGGGUUGUAAAGUACUUUCAGUCGGGAGGCGUUACCGACAGAAGAAGCACCGGCUAACUCCGUGACAGCAGCCGCGGUAAUAC
rnacentral:rRNA from 1 species